rnacentral:rRNA from 1 species
ACUGCUCAGUAACACGUGGACAACCUAACCUACAGAGGGGGAUAACCCCGGGAAACUGGGGAUAAUACCCCAUAGACUAUGGAUGCUGGAAUGCUUCGUAGUUGAAAGGUCCGCCGCUGUAGGAUGGGUCUGCGGCCGAUUAGGUUGUUGUUGGGGUAACGGCCCAACAAGCCUGUAAUCGGUACGGGUUGUGGGAGCAAGAGCCCGGAGAUGGAUUCUGAGACACGAAUCCAGGCCCUACGGGGCGCAGCAGGCGCGAAAACUUUGCAAUGCGGGAAACCGUGACAAGGGAACCCUGAGUGCCCGUUAAAUCGGGCUGUCCAUCGGUUUAAAUAACCGGUGAAGAAAGGGCCGGGCAAGACCGGUGCCAGCCGCCGCGGUAAUACCGGCGGCUCGAGUGGUGGCCACUAUUACUGGGCUUAAAGCGUUCGUAGCUGGUUUGUUAAGUCUCUGGGGAAAUCUUCCGGCUUAACCGGAAGGCGUCUCAGGGAUACUGGCAGACUAGGGACCGGGAGAGGUGAGAGGUACUCCAGGGGUAGGAGUGAAAUCCUGUAAUCCUUGGGGGACCACCUGUGGCGAAGGCGUCUCACCAGAACGGCUCCGACAGUGAGGGACGAAAGCUGGGGGAGCAAACCGGAUUAGAUACCCGGGUAGUCCCAGCUGUAAACGAUGCGCGUUAGGUGUAUCGGUGACCACGAGUCACCGAGGUGCCGAAGAGAAAUCGUGAAACGUGCCGCCUGGGAAGUACGGUCGCAAGGCUGAAACUUAAAGGAAUUGGCGGGGGAGCAC